UUAUUCAGUAGUUCUCAUGGAUAAUCGGAUGUCAAAGAUAUGUACUGCCUCAUCUGACUUAAAUUAGUGAUUUUAGUUGUGCUGUAAUUCUCAUGGCCUCAGAUCUAUAUCAGCAUGUCCAGCUUCUCUGAUUCUCCCCAAACAGUCCAGACUGUCUUGUGAUUCCUUUAAAUACUAGGAUCAGGCUCUUGCAGCAUGUGCACAUCUUGAUCAAAGUUCGUCUGAUCAUCUGCCUUGGCCUCAAGAUGUUGGAUCCGGACCUACCACUGUGCUUGGGAAUGACAGGCGGCGCAGGAGGGACUCGGACCUUUGACUGAUCGACCAGGAUUAGGAUCAGGAUUGGGAUUACUUCUCAGAUACAAAUCAAGCAAAAGAAAAUAAGUGCAUCUGCUUGGUCAGGGUUGGAUAUUUUGCCAUUUCUACAGCAGACAAAAUCCUAUUGACAUUUGCAGCUGGGAUUCGAGCUUCAAGAACCUGCAUGCAUCAUUUCUGGCUUAUUUAUUCAUUGUACGAACUUCCGUCACCUCAUUCAUAGUAGCAUCAUGAUAAUGGAAAACAGAAACACAAAAUGAUUUAGUUAAAGAACAACAAAAAAGCGCUGUUAAAAAUCUAAAAGGAACAUCAGUAGGUACAGUAUUUAAAAUGAAGUUACCUUUUGUAUUUAAGAAUAUUUUACAGUAAUCAUAAUUCAAGGUAAUAAAAAUAUUUU
rnacentral:lncRNA from 1 species